GCUAAAUUUAUUAGAUAUAACCAGAACCAAAUAUGGAGAAGCAGCAUUCAACUUCUGCUCCACAAAUCUAGAACAAUCUUCCAGAAAACUGAAAAACAG